CGCGUAGGCGGCCGUUUAAGUCAGAUGUGAAAGCCCGGGGCUCAACCCCGGAAGUGCAUUUGAUACUAUUCGGCUUGAGUAUGGGAGAGGGAAGUGGAGUUCCUGGUGUAGAGGUGAAAUUCGUAGAUAUCAGGAGGAACACCGGUGGCGAAGGCGACUUCCUGGACCAAUACUGACGCUGAGGCGCGAAGGCGUGGGGAGCAAACA
rnacentral:rRNA from 1 species